rnacentral:rRNA from 1 species
GUGCCUAACACAUGCAAGUCGAACGAGAAAGUGGAGCAAUCCAUGAGUAAAGUGGCGACCGGGUGAGUAACACGUGACUAACCUACCUCCGAAUGGGGAAUAACUCCGGGAAACCGGGGCUAAUACCGCAUAACACCGCAAGGUCAAAGCAGCAAUGCGUUUGGAGAGGGGGUCGCGGCUGAUUAGCUAGUUGGCGGGGUAACGGCCCACCAAGGCGAAGAUCGGUAUCCGGCCUGAGAGGGCGCACGGACACACUGGAACUGAAACACGGUCCAG